GGCAACGGCGGUGCGGGCGGCGGCAAGGCCGGCCCGGCGGCGGCGCUGCGCGGCUCCCAGGCCGCGGGCCUGGCGGCCCCGGGCGGCGCGGCGGCGGCCAACGGGCCCCUCGGCGCGGGCGCGGGCGCGGGCGGCGCCGCCCCCGGAGGCUACUUCGAGACUCCUUUUAAUUUUGGCAUGAAUCAUAGAACACCACCCUACCCCGCUGGGGAUUAUUGUCUUCUGUGCAGAAGUGAGCGGAAAGACUCUUCAUUCUUAGAGAGCGGAAUUAAGACUGCGAGCAAAUUGGCCCUUUCUAUGGCCCCCAAGGGCAACAGCGUGCUGCACCUGCCACUGUGGGUGUGCCCAGACUGCCGGCGGACUGUGGAGAAGGAGGAGAGGCAUAGUGGCCUCGACCAGCCAUCGCAGGGCCAAGACUUUCUUCUUCACUCCCCUCUCAGCGGCUCGCAGCCGGAGGCGGGCGGCGGGAGGCUGGCCCUCGGCGCACAGACGCUGCCCUCGGCCGGGCUGGGCGCCGCCCCCUCGGACGCCGCGUGUGCUUGCGAGGCCUGCAGCGAGCGCAGAGAGAUUUCGGCAGACACAGACCGGGAGCCCCAGCAGCUGCAGAACUACUGGUCAGAAGUGCGCUACAUGGUCCGCUGCAUUUACCGCCAGGCAGGGACUCCGCUGGCCGACGACCAAGACCAGAGUCUCGUGCCGGACAAGGAGGGGGUGAAGGAGCUCGUGGAUAGGCUCUGUGAGAGGGACCCUUACCAGCUGUACCAGCGGUUGGAACAACAGGCCAGAGAGUACGUGCUGGAGAUGAAGGUCCGGCUCCUCCGGCAGCUGUCGGCUGCAUCCAAAGUGAAAGCUCCGUCUGCCCUGCAGGGCCCUCCACAGGCACACCAGUUCAUCUCCCUCCUUCUCGAAGAGUACGGUGCCCUCUGCCAGGCGGCACGCACAAUCAGCACCUUCCUUGGCACGCUGGAAAACGAACACUUGAAAAAGUUCCAGGUGACGUGGGAGCUGCAUAAUAAACAUCUGUUUGAAAACCUGGUCUUUUCGGAGCCACUUCUCCAGAGCAACUUGCCGGCACUGGUGUCACAGAUCAGGCUGGGGACCACAACACACGACACGUGCAACGAGGACACAUACAGCACCCUGCUGCAACGGUACCAGCGCUCCGAGGAGGAGUUGCGCAGGGUGGCUGAGGAGUGGCUGGAGUGCCAGCAGAGGAUCGACGCCUAUGUCGAUGAGCAGAUGACCAUGAAAACCAAACCGCGCAUGCUGACAGAGGACUGGGAGCUUUUCAAACAAAGGCGAUUCAUUGAGGAGCAGCUAACCAACAAGAAAGCAGUUGCUGGUGAGAACAACUUCACGGACGCCAUGAGGCACAUGUUGUCCUCCCGGCUGAGCAUGCCCGACUGCCCCAACUGCAACUACAGGAGAAGAUGUGCUUGUGAUGACUGCAGCCUCUCACACAUCCUCACUUGUGGUGUCAUGGACCCCCCCGUCACUGGCGACAUCCACAGUCACCAGCUGCCCCUCCAAGUGGAUUCUGCUCCCGACUAUCUCUCUGAGAUGCGCCCACCUAGCGUGUCCUCAGCAAGCUCAGGGUCAGGUUCCAGCUCUCCCAUUACAAUUCAGCAACAUCCCAGACUCAUCCUCACAGACAAUGGCUCUGCACCAACUUUUUGUAGUGAUGACGAAGACGUUGCACCAUUGUCAGCUAAGUUUGCUGAUAUUUAUCCAUUGAGUAACUACGACGAUACUGAGGUGGUGGCCAACAUGAAUGGAAUCCACAGCGAAUUGAAUGGUGGCGGGGAAAACAUGGCUCUGAAAGAUGAGUCCCCUCAGGUAAGCAGUACCAGUAGUAGCUCUUCAGAGGCUGACGACGAAGAGGCAGACGGCGAAAGCAGUGGGGAGCCGCCAGGAGCCCCAAAGCAAGACGUAGCUCUAGGCAACGGGAGCCCCAGGAAAGAGGAAAGUAAAGUGGACAGUCCACCCCCAUCUUACCCAACUCAGCAGGCUGAACAAACUCCAAACACUUGUGAAUGUCAUGUUUGUAAACAAGAAGCCUCUGGACUGACAGCAUCAGCAAUGACAGCUGGCGCCCUUCCUCCUGGCCAUCAGUUCAUGAGCCCAGAGAAGCCCACACACCCUGCUCUGCAUCUUUACCCCCACAUCCACGGACACGUGCCUUUGCACGCAGUCCCACACCUGCCCCGCCCUCUCAUCCACCCCACCUUGUAUACAGCGCCCCCCUUCACACACAGUAAGGCUUUACCGCCAGCACCUGUUCAGAAUCACACAAAUAAGCAUCAGGUAUUCAAUGCAUCUCUUCAAGACCAUAUUUAUCCAAGCUGUUUUGGGAAUACUCCAGAGUGGAAUAGUUCUAAAUUUAUAAGUCUUUGGGGAUCAGAAGUGAUGAAUGAUAAGAACUGGAAUCCUGGCACUUUCUUGCCAGAUACAAUUUCUGGGGGUGACAUGCUAGGGCCAGCGCUGUCCGAACCCAGACCCGAAGCCCUCCCGCCUCCGCCCAGCGACGAGGCGCCCACCAUGUCGGAGAGCAAGGAGAAAAAAAGUGCCGCCAAACAGAAGUGCUUAUACAAUUUCCAAGACGCCUUCCUGGAGGCGAACAAAGUCGUGAUGGCCACGUCGUCCGCCACCUCCUCCGUAUCCUGCACGGCCACCACCGUGCAGUCAAGCAACAGCCAGUUCAAAGUGUCAUCCAAGAGGCCUCCCUCCCUAGGCGAGGUGUUCCACGGCGUCAGCAAGGAGGACCACAGACACGCGGUGCCGGCCGCCCCGAGGAACAGCCCCACGGGCCUGGCGCCGCUCCCCGCCCUCGCCCCUGCCGCCCUCGCCCCCACCUCCUCGCCUCACCUCGCAAGUCUCGCAGCCCCGUCCUUCCCCAGCACCGCGGCCACGUCCCCCGGGUUUGUGGACACGCGCAAGAGCUUCUGUCCUGCCCCCGGAGCCCCCCCGCCCCCCACCACAGACGGCUCCCUCAGCGCCCCCCCCAGCGUCUGCAGUGACCCCGACUGCGAGGGGCACCGCUGUGAGAACGGCGUGUAUGACCCGCAGCAAGACGACGGGGACGAGAGUGCUGACGAGGACAGCUGCUCCGAGCACAGCUCUAGCACCUCGACCUCCACCAACCAGAAGGAGGGCAAGUACUGUGACUGCUGCUACUGUGAGUUCUUCGGGCACGGCGGGCCUCCGGCUGCACCAACAAGUAGGAAUUAUGCAGAAAUGAGGGAGAAGCUUCGUUUGCGGCUGACCAAGAGGAAAGAGGAACAGCCUAAGAAAGCGGACCAGCUCUCUGAGAGGGAGGGUGUGGUUGACCAUCGCAGGGUGGAGGACCUUCUGCGGUUCAUAAACAGCUCUGAGCCCAAGCCAGUGAGCAGCACCCGAGCCGCCAAGCGAGCCAGGCACAAGCAGAGAAAGCUGGAAGAGAAGGCGCGCCUGGAAGCAGAGGCCCGGGCCCGGGAGCACCUGCACCUCCGGGAGGAGCAGCGGCGGCAGGAGGAGGAGGAGGAGUUUCAGCGGCUUCAGGAGCUUCAGAAGCUGAGGGCUGUGAAAAAGAAGAAGAAGGAGAGGCCAAGCAAAGACUGUCCCAAGUUGGACAUCCUUGCUAGAAACUUCCAGGCAGCAGCAGAGUCUGUACCUAACUCUGAAAACAUGCACAAUGGCUCACUAGAGCAAAUGGAAGAACCAGAGACCUCACCCCACUCCCCUUCCAGACACGGGGACCACUCAGAGCCGGGGCCGGGGCCGGGGGCCGACGGCGAUGCCGCCGACCCCAUGGACGCCAGAGACUCCAAGCUCCUCCUCCCGAAGGAGGUCAGCGGGAAGCAGCAGGAGCCGCUGUCUUUUCUCCUUGACAUCAUGCAUCAGCACAAGGAGGGGAGUGGCAAGCAAAAGCUCAAGCAGACCAGUAAGGCCAGCAGCGAGCCGGCGAGAAGGCCGGCCGAGCCCCCCAAGGCCUCCGAGAGCCAGCCCAGACCCCGGCCCCAGACUGAGUCGAAGGCAAAAGUCCUGGACCUCGCUUCCCUGGCAGAGCAGAAAAGAGAGGAGAGGAAAGUCAACAGUAACAACAAUAACAAAAAGCAGCUGAACCACGUCAAGGAAGAAAGGUUGAAUCUGGCCCCCCAGGAGCCUGCCUCCCCCAGCGAGCACCCUCAGGACAGCAAGCUGGUGCCCGCAGACUCUCCUCAGCCCAAGGGCAAGAGCAAGAAGAACCGGAAGAAGAAAGGAGACAGAGUCAGCAGCUCAAUCGAUGAUGUCUUUCUGCCUAAAGAUAUCGACCUAGACAGCGUGGACAUGGACGAGACAGAGAGGGAAGUGGAGUAUUUCAAAAGAUUCUGUUUGGAUUCGGCUAGACAGACCCGACAAAGACUGUCCAUCAACUGGUCCAAUUUUAGCUUGAAAAAGGCCACUUUUGCCGCCCACUGAAUGAGGACCGCCUGGAGAGGGACGCGCAGGAGAUCUCUGCAGGCAGUUUGUGGGAGUCUCCGGUGGAACCGCCAUCCUGUUCCCACCCACUUCCCGGAGCACCCCGGAGCCCCACUGCUCCCCACUCUUGGACUUCUGGACUGACGGCCUGCAGGUGGGACAGAGCAGAGGCAAGAGGGACUCCUGAGGCUCUGCUCUGAGCCCUGGGCGGGACGGGGUCAAGUCUGGGGUGCUCAUCAGAAGCCCAGGUGAGAUGUCUGGCGCUGGGGAUCGCUGCUCGUGAGCAGAAGGCCCCCCCAGGAACAAGUGUGGACAGGUCGGGCGGGGGGCUGUCCGCAGAUCCAGUAUCACAGGUGGCGGGAGCAUGGCUCGGCAGGGCUGCUGUGGCCGAGGUGAGGUCCAAGAACUGGCCCUGGGCUCCCACCACAACCCCGUGGGAGCUGGUUUGCGGGAAGACAGGGUGGGAAGAGCAGGUCCUGGGACUAGGAGACGGGGUGGCAGCAAGACGAGCAGGGGGACAAAAAGCUGGCUGGCUUGUUCUGCUUUUGUUUUUCUAGGUGGGAGGAAGGACAGCAUAUCUCUGCUCCUGGGAUGACCCAGCAGAUCGAGGAGCAGGCUGGGUGGUGACCACAGGAGCCAUGUCCUCAAAAGGCCCUGAUGUGCCUCCAGGACUUCCAGGCCCAGGCCUCGUCCCUUCCCGGUGAGCGUGAGGGUAGCCGGGCUGGCUGGGCAAAUGCUGGGGAGGGUCCCGGGGAGCCUGCAAACCUGGACCCUGCCAUCUGGGGAACCUGCCCGCCCAGGCCCAUCCCUGAGACCCUGCCCGUGCCCCACCCCAUCCUUCUCAUGAGUUGGAAGCAGUCCCACCUGUGGGCCACAGCUUUCACCUGUCCUGGGGGCCACAGUGGCCAAAGGGUCCUACCUGUGACAUGAGCAGGGCCUUGUCAGGGCCAGGAGUGGUGAGGGGGACCCCUGGGCACCCCAACACAGUGUCCACACACACCCAUGUCUCCACCUAAGUUGGCCCCACCUGCCCCCCUGCCACACCCCUGCCCCCCCCCACACACGGGCCAGCCACCUAGGCCUUAUUCCAGCCGGCCUUUCUGCUUGAAAUCGGGAGAUUGCCCUUCCCACGUUCCACACAAGGCCCAACCCUUUCGCUCCUUUGGGUCUUUCCCUGAGUGGGGGUUGGGGGGGGUGUCUCUUUACCAUUCCCAGUUCUCAGGAACAGAACACUGAGGAUGGAUUUCGGGCCUGGGAGGCCCAGGACAGUCCAGGGGUAGGAAAAGGUGGAGGGUCGAGGCUGGCAGGGCUUCCUUAAGUUCAGCCCCUCCCACACAGGUGGAGGCAGGCCCAGGCCAAGACACUGGAUACUGUGCCCCCCAGUGCAAGGCUGCGUCGUCCUGCCCAGGCAUUGCAUUUACUGGUGGGGAAACCAAGGCCCAAGGUGUGCCUGCGAGACAUCUGGCCCCAGUGCUACUGUCUUCACAGGGGCCUCGGCCCGAGGGUCAGAUCGCAUUGGAGUGUCCUCUCCUUUACACAAUAAAUGAUCACGAGAUGAAAUAAAAUAACAGUAGCCAGAAAAGAAACAGUGAAAAUGCCCUUUCGUUGAACUUUGUCUACAUAGUCAGGCCAUUAAAAAAAAAUAUUAUCAAAAUGAGCAUUAUGGUACCAAAAAGGAUUAACAUUUCUUCAUUUCACUAAUAUAUUUUUUUAAAGAAGAUAGAACUUACCUCACAGGUCACACUGUGUCGCGGUUUUAAACACAAAUAAAACCUCUCGGUCACACAUGCAAUGACGAUUGAA